AAAAAACAAACAAUAAAUCAUUCAUCAGUGUAUCUCAUUGAGAAAGCCUACAAAUAGUGUUUUAAUAAAUACAAAUGAAAUGCAUAGCAGUGAAAAUUAACACAAGUCACUAGCUAAUAUUCCUAUGGAAAUAUAAAUAAUAACACCAAUACAGAAAUAAAAAGCGGAUGCCUAUCUACCACUGGUUACGCCUUUAUUCCUAAAUCGAAGAAUUCGAUUGGCUGCCGUAAUAAUUAUCAUGUACCAUUCAAUUUACAUAAGGCUCUAAUAAUGACCUUUACUGAAACUAAGCGCAAUUUUGCCAUUGAUCACUGACACCAUCGAUAAUCAUGGGUCAUACUAGAAGAUAUUAUAAAAACAAGAAAAGAAAUAAAACAAAGAAUAAGCAUAUAAGAUUUAAACAAAAUCUUGCUAUUGAAAAUAAGAAAC
rnacentral:lncRNA from 1 species